AAUGAACGCUGGCGGCAUGGAUUAGGCAUGCAAGUCGAACGCUAACUUCGGUUAGAGUGGCGAAAGGGUGAGUAACGCGUGAGCAACUUGCCCCCAAGUUUGGGAUAACUGUUGGAAACGACAGCUAAUACCGGAUGUGAUAAUUUGAUAGCAUUUUUAAAUUAUUAAAGGUUUACUGCUUGGGGAUAGGCUCGCGUCCCAUUAUGCUAGUUGGUAAGGUAACGGCUUACCAAGGCUAUGACGGGUAGGUGGUCUGAGAGGAUGGUCACCCACACUGGGACUGAGACACUGCCCAGACUCCUGCGGGAGGCUGCAGUCGAGAAUCUUCCGCAAUGCGCGCAAGCGUGACGGAGCAAUGCCGCGUGAGGGAUGAAGGCUUUCGGGUCGUAAACCUCUGUCAGAAGGGAAAAACAAUGAUUGUACCUUCAGAGGAAGCCACGGCUAACUACG
rnacentral:rRNA from 1 species